UGGGGGAUAUUGCACAAUGGGGGGAACCCUGAUGCAGCGACGCCGCGUGGGUGAAGGAGCGCCUCGGCGCGUAAAGCCCUAUCGGCAGGGAAGAAGAUGACGGUACCUGACCAAGAAGCCCCGGCUAACUACGUGCCAGCAGCCGCGGUAAUACGUAGGGGGCAAGCGUUAUCCGGAUUUACUGGGUGUAAAGGGGGCGCAGACGGCGAUGCAAGCCAGGAGUGAAAUCCCGGGGCCCAACCCCGGGGCUGCUCUUGGAACUGCGUGGCUGGAGUACAGGAGGGGCAGGCGGAAUUCCUAGUGUAGCGGUGAAAUGCGUAGAUAUUAGGAGGAACACCGGUGGCGAAGGCGGCCUGCUGGACUGUGACUGACGUUGAGGCCCGAAGGCGUGGGGAGCAAACAGG
rnacentral:rRNA from 1 species